rnacentral:tRNA from 1 species
CGGGAUAUAGCGCAGUUUGGUAGCGCGCCUGCUUUGGGAGCAGGAUGUCGCAGGUUCAAGUCCUGCUAUCCCGAU